AUCAAAUGGGAAACUUGAGGAGCAGGACGUACUGCUGAACUCCAUUAGGAAAAUAGUUGACUGACUACCAGAGCGGCAUAAUCCUAGGACAUCUUUACCUUCCCUGUCUUAGAAGAUUUUCUUCAUGCUGGGUGUAGUUCCUUAACUGCAUCCAUUAAAGACUAAGAUGACUUCCUGGACUAUGGUUUAUGCAACCAAAAAGAAAAAAUACUGUUUACACAGAGAAAAUUAGACCUCAGUGCAUAUAUAUAAUAACAAAAGAUAAUCAAGAAUCUAUUUGGGACAUGAAGGAAGGAAGAUCCAAAAGGAAGUAAAUUCAGGCAGAGUAAUAAGGUCGAAGCUCUCUUAUCUGACUGAGGAAAAGUGCCUCCAGAAGGGAUACAGCUGUUUUAGGCAACUCUCUUACAAUCUCAUCAAAGAGUUAACAUGAACUCACAGGCAAGAGACAUAGGGUUGACAACACAUCAGAGCUCAGGUAAACUUUGUCUCUGGCUACUGCAUAUUCUUCAGACUCAAUCAUGCCCUUUAAAAAUCAUAUUUUUUCUCUAAGAUUGUAUACAGUUUCCACUUCCCUCUCCCCCAGAAAUAAAGUACAUAAGUUCCUAAAUCUCAUUCAGUUAUUGGGCACUCACAUUCACAUGAUGCCCUUAUAUGCAUAAUGAAUUUGGAUUCCUUUUUUGGCGUUAAUCUGUCUAUUGUUAAUUUGUUUCAGCAGAUUCAUUUACUGGAAAACUUCAGAGAGUGGAAAUUUCCUUUACCCUUACAAUAUAUGGUUUUAUGAUAUAUUAUAUAUUUAUAAUUAGAUAUAUGGCAUAAUAAUUAGCUGCAUUAUUUUAGAUGGCAAGAAUAUCAUAAUUAUUACUUGCCAAAAGUCCAGUUUUGAAGAGACUGUUUUCUUGAAUAUUGAUCACAUAUAUCAUGUAUCCAAUUUUUAAUAUUUUUAUUAUCUUGAAGACUAAUACAUUAACCCUUCAUACUCAAAAUACUUUAAAAAUAUUAAACUAUUUAUUCUUUAAACAUUUUAUUUAUUUGAAAAGCAGAGUAACAGAGAGAGAGGGAGAGACGGAGAGUGAGAUCAUCCAUUCAUUGGUUGAAUCAAAUGGCCACUAUAACCAGGGCCAGGGUUGAACCAGGACACAGCCAGGAGCCAGGUACUCCAUCCAAGUCUUUCACAUGAGUGAAGGUUCCAAGUGUUAAUAAAAUAGUACGGUCAUAUCUGGGGCGCCAUUUUAGGAUGUGGCCCCAUGGCUAUUUUGUACAAUAAGCUUUGAUCUUCAGCCCAGACUGGCUUACUAGAAGUCAGGUGACCAAAUGGCCCAACCACAAGCGUCAGUCUAACGGGAUUCACUGCUCCCACUUCUUACUUCUGCAAAGCUAUAUUAGAGCUGUUCUGCUAAUACAGGCUGCUGUUCUCUUGUGCAUCGGGAGGCAGUCUGUCAGAUUUUCCCCAACCAACAGUAAACCUUCUCCCUUACUCCAGUGUUUGGUGUGUUUUGUGAUGGCCUUUCACCAAGUACUCAGACCAUUAUCCACGGUUUACCUACACACAUUAACAAGAAGCUGGAUGGGAAAGGGAGCAGCUGGUACUCAAAUAGUACUUGGAUAGGGGAUGAUGGGAUAACAGCAGCUUAAUCUGCUAUGCUAUAAUGUUGGCACCUGCGACAAUGAUUUUAAAACUAUAGAACUUGGUGAAAAAUAUGUCUCCCUAUAUAGUCAUAAUGUGACAAAAGAAUGCAGAAAGUCUUUGUGAAUUCUUUGUAGUCACCUAUCAUACUAAAAGAUCAAUCCAAAUUCCUCCCAUUCCAUCAUGAUUUCCUUUUCCCUGAAUUUUAUUUAUGAGUCAUUGAUAAAUGAAAAUUGUAUAUAUUUAAGCUAUGCAACACAGUAUUUUGAUAAUAUGUAUAUUGGGAAAUGCUUACCAUUAUCAUGUUAAUUAACAUAUUCAUCCCCUUUUAUAGUUGCUACAUUUUUUUCAGUAGUGAGAAAAUCCAAGAUCUACCUUGCUAGAAAAGUUCAAUUACGCCCUAUGGGAUCAUAAAUCAUACUGUAUUAGCUUUUCAGGAUCUUUCACCAUGCAUAAUGGAAAGUUUGUACCCUUUGAUCAAAAUCUGCCAUUCUCACCCUUCUUCCUAAUAUCCCCUCUCUACCCAAUACCUCUCUCAAUCUACCAUUCUAUUUUCUGAUUUUAAGCAGUUAGUUUUCUUAAAUUGCAAAUACAAAUGAAGACAUGUCUUUUUGUGCCUGGCUUAUUUCAUUUGCCAUGCUGGCAAUGUCCUAUGGCCCAUUAAUGACCACUAUUUUUGUUUUAAUAGUAGAAAUAGGGUGGACAUUUGGAACAGCUGAUUCAACUUUCAACUUGGAAUGCCUAUAUCUAAUAUCAGAAUACAUGCAUCCUGGUUACUCUGCUUCCAAUCCAGCUUCCUCCUAAUGCAUCCUGAGUGGCCAUAGAUGAUGGCUCAAAGACUUGUGGCUCACCUACAUGGGAGAUCCAGAGGGAGUUUUGGACCCCCGGCUUCAGCUUAGCCCAGCCCUGGCUCGUGCAGACAUUUGCGGAGUGAACAGCGGAUGGAAGAUCUCUCUUAACUGGAGGAAUAAUAAAUAUAUAUUCAUUUGUUUUUAUGUAGAGCUUUCUCUUCUUUGAAGAUCUUGUAAACCGUGGGGAAAACUGAAUUUCAGGAUGUAUCCUGAGUAGCAAAAUGGUUCUAAAAUUCAAAAUGGGUCUGAAGAGACCAUUUGCUGAUGA